AAACUUAAAGGAAUUGACGGGGCCCGCACAAGCGGUGGAGCAUGUGGUUUAAUUCGAAGCAACGCGAAGAACCUUACCAGGUCUUGACAUCCCGAUGCUAUUUCUAGAGAUAGAAAGUUACUUCGGUACAUCGGUGACAGGUGGUGCAUGGUUGUCGUCAGCUCGUGUCGUGAGAUGUUGGGUUAAGUCCCGCAACGAGCGCAACCCUUAUCAUUAGUUGCUACGCAAGGGCACUCUAAUGAGACUGCCGGUGACAAACCGGAGGAAGGUGGGGAUGACGUCAAGUCCUCAUGGCCCUUAUGGGUAGGGCUUCACACGUCAUACAAUGGUCGGUACAGAGGGUUGCCAAGCCGCGAGGCGGAGCCAAUCCCACAAAGCCGAUCGUAGUCCGGAUUGUUCUCUGCAACUCGAGAGCAUGAAGUCGGAAUCGCUAGUAAUCGCAGGUCAGCAUACUGCGGUGAAUACGUUCCCGGGUCUU
rnacentral:rRNA from 1 species